GGGCGCCGGGCAGGGCGCACGCGCGGGGCGGGCGGGGCGGUCACGUGGCGUGGACACCGCUGCCGCGGGCGCUCGGGCGGGCCGGGCGCCCUGGCACGUGCGGCCGGGGCCGCAGGUAAAUAGAUGGGCUGGAAGGAGGAUUGGCCCGCCGAGUCGCCAAGGGGACCUUGGCCCCAGUCCCUGGCUGGAUGCCGUGGAACCUCAGGACAGUUGCAUGUGCUCUUUGGGACUGGGCUCCUGGAGGCAGGCACUGGAGCUACAGAACUGCUGGGCUCCCAGGAAGCAUUCAGUGUGUGACCCCGGCACUCCCUCCCAUGCCCCCUCUGUUCCAGCCACAGGCUUUGUCCUGUCUCCUCACCCAAAGUUCUGCUGGCUGUAGCUGGUGUUCAGAGCACAGGGGGACCUGCCCUGGCCCACCUGGCCAGCCUCAAGUCCCCCUGGGGGCACGGUGUGGGGAGGGGCCUUGGUGCCUGCUCAUCCUUUCCCCUUCCUGGAACCCCACCCAGGGUGGCAUGUUGGAUGCUGAGAAAGGGGCUUGGGUGGGGAGAGGAGAGGCCAGGAAUGGAGGAGACAGUGUUUGAGCUGGGGCAAAGAGUGGUAUCCAGCCCUUACUGGUAACAGAUGGGGAACAGGCCAGUGUGUCUUGUCCUGGGUGCACCCCUGUGGGUGGUCAUGCAUGCACACACGUGUUCUUCAGACAAGCUCGGACUGGUGAGAGUUAACAGCACAGUAGCAGGAGUUCAACAUCAGCAGGAACUCUCCCAGAAAGUCAACCAAAGAGACAAAAGGUGGGGGAAGAGAAAAUAAAGGAAAGGAAAAUGGAUGGAAGUUGUCCA
ensembl:lncRNA